CCUACGGGCGGCAGCAGUGAGGAAUAUUGGUCAAUGGGCGUAAGCCUGAACCAGCCAAGUCGCGUGAGGGAUGAAGGUUCUAUGGAUCGUAAACCUCUUUUAUAAGGGAAUAAAGUGUGGGUCGUUUCCUGUUUUGUAUGUCCCUUAUGAAUAAGGAUCGGCUAACUCCGUGACAGCAGCCGCGGUAAUACGGAGGAUCCGAGCGUUAUCCGGAUGUAUGGGGUUUAAAGGGUGCGUAGGCGGCCUUUUAAGUCACCGGGGAAAGUCUGUGGCUCAACCAUAGAAUUGCCGUUGAAACUGGGAGGCUUGAGUAUGUUUGAGGCAGGCGGAAUGCGUGGUGUAGCGGUGAAAUGCGUAGAUAUCACGCAGAACCCCGAUUGCGAAGGCAGCCUGCCAAGCCAUGACUGACGCUGAGGCACGAAAGCGUGGGGAUCAAACAGGAUUAGAUACCCGAGUAGUC
rnacentral:rRNA from 1 species